rnacentral:rRNA from 1 species
CCUACGGGAGGCAGCAGUGAGGAAUAUUGGUCAAUGGCCGUAAGGCUGAACCAGCCAAGUAGCGUGAGUGAAGAAGUAUCUCGGUACGUAAAGCUCUAUCAGCAGGGAAGAAAAUGACGGUACCUGACUAAGAAGCCCCGGCUAACUACGUGCCAGCAGCCGCGGUAAUACGUAGGGGGCAAGCGUUAUCCGGAUUUACUGGGUGUAAAGGGAGCGUAGACGGCAGCACAAGUCUGGAGUGAAAUCCCGGGGCUUAACCCCGGAACUGCUUUGGAAACUGUGCGGCUGGAGUGCAGGAGGGGUAAGCGGAAUUCCUAGUGUAGCGGUGAAAUGCGUAGAUAGUAGGAGGAACACCAGUGGCGAAGGCGGCCUGCUGGACAGAAACUGACGUUGAGGCUCGAAAGCGUGGGGAGCAAACAGGAUUAGAUACCCGGGUAGUC